GACGAACGCUGGCGGCGUGCCUAAUACAUGCAAGUAGAACGCACAGUUUAUACCGUAGCUUGCUACACCAUAGACUGUGAGUUGCGAACGGGUGAGUAACGCGUAGGUAACCUGCCUGGUAGCGGGGGAUAACUAUUGGAAACGAUAGCUAAUACCGCAUAAUAUUGAUUAUUGCAUGAUAAUUAAUUGAAAGGUGCAAUUGCACCACUACCAGAUGGACCUGCGUUGUAUUAGCUAGUAGGUGAGGUAACGGCUCACCUAGGCGACGAUACAUAGCCGACCUGAGAGGGUGAUCGGCCACACUGGGACUGAGACACGGCCCAGACUCCUACGGGAGGCAGCAGUAGGGAAUCUUCGGCAAUGGACGAAAGUCUGACCGAGCAACGCCGCGUGAGUGAAGAAGGUUUUCGGAUCGUAAAGCUCUGUUGUAAGAGAAGAACGGGUGCGAGAGUGGAAAGUUCACACUGUGACGGUAUCUUACCAGAAAGGGACGGCUAACUACGUG
rnacentral:rRNA from 1 species